rnacentral:piRNA from 1 species
UAAGAAAUGUCUCCGCAGUUAAGAGCACUG